rnacentral:lncRNA from 10 species
GUGCAGCGCCGCCUCCCGUUCGCCUCUGCGCCUGGCCCGGCGACUGCGGGCGCUGCGGUCCACUGGGUCCGCCUCUUCCCGGCAUGGGUUUCUGCCCAGCUCACCCGCUGUCAGCUGGGGUCCUGCUCUGGUGGGAGGAAGAGGCUCAGACGCUUCCCUGCCCUCUCGCCUCAACCACCUCGAGGCAGCGGCUCCCAGGAUGUGCACUUUGACGACUAAAGCUGAGCCGGCGCCGCCACGACCUUGGGCGGGUGGUCGGCCUCUGCCCUGAGCAGGAAGUAGAAAGUCUCAGCAGACCCUUCCUGAGGGCCGAGCAACAGUGUAGUGGCGUAUUCCACAUAGCAAACAGGCAGCAUUUCUUCCUGUGACAAUAUGGUGUAAGACAAAAUUGUGGCCUGCCAUGAAGUUGUGAGAGAAAAGCAUCCCUCAUUUCUUCAGGAAAGGCCACUGCCGUUCCCUCCGGCUCCUCUUCUCAGGAGUUUGUGCAUUCAUGAGGUGAAUUCCUUGGAAGAUGAGGGCCAAGUCUUAUUCUUCUCAGUCUCUUCUGCAUCUAGCAGAAGAAUAAUGGUUGCACAGAAAAUCUUGGUUCAGUGGUUGAGUGAAUGAAUGGAUGAACAGGCUCUUGCACACAAAGAAGAGACAUGAUGUAUUUGCAUCCUUCCCUGCUUCAGCCAGUUUUCUGAAGCUCAGAGGGACACCUUGUAUUGCUGGAUGAUAAAAACAGGAGCAAAGUGAUGAAGUGCUGACAAGGCAACAAUAGAACAUGAGAGAUUCACUGCUGUGUAGGAAGAGAUCUUCGGUGACCAUGUAGCCUGAAGCUCUCAUUUUGUCAUCGAGGGACACCAAAACUCAGAACAGCAGCAGCUCACGCUGCUGAUGCAACACAGGUGAAGAGCACCUUCCCCUCCCCCACCUGUGGGCUGAUUCCCACCACGUGGAUCCCAAGGCCAUCCCAGGAACUCUUUGGAGGGGAGAAGCCCAGUGGAAACUGUCAGGCCUCUGAGCACAAGCCAAGCCAUCGCAUCCCCUGUGACUUGCACGUAUAUGCCCAGAUGGCCUGAAGUAACUGAAGAAUCACAAAAGAAGUGAAAAGGCCCUGCCCCACCUUAACUGAUGACAUUCCACCAUUGUGAUUUGUUCCUGCCCCACCUUCACUGAGUGAUUAACCCUGUGAAUUUCCUUCUCCUGGCUCAGAAGCUCCCCCACUGAGCACCUUGUGACCCCCGCCCCUGCCCACCAGAGAACAACCCCCUUUGACUGUAAUUUUCCAUUACCUUCCCAAAUCCUAUAAAACGGCCCCACCCCUAUCUCCCUUCGCUGACUCUCUUUUCGGACUCAGCCCGCCUGCACCCAGGUGAAAUAAACAGCCAUGUUGCUCACA